AUUGAACGCUGGCGGCAUGCUUUACACAUGCAAGUCGAACGGUAACAGGGUGCUUGCACCGCUGACGAGUGGCGAACGGGUGAGUAAUGCGUCGGAACGUGCCGAGUAGUGGGGGAUAACGCAGCGAAAGUUGUGCUAAUACCGCAUACGUACUGAGGUAGAAAGUGGGGGACCUCCGGGCCUCACGCUAUUCGAGCGGCCGACGUCUGAUUAGCUAGUAGGUGAGGUAAAGGCUCACCUAGGCGACGCUCAGUAGCGGGUCGGAGAGGAUGAUCCGCCACACUGGGACUGAGACACGGCCCAGAAUCCUACGGGAGGCAGCAGUGGGGAAUUUUGGACAAUGGGCGAAAGCCUGAUCCAGCCAUGCCGCGUGUCUGAAGAAGGCCUUCGGGUUGUAAAGGACUUUUGUCGGGGAGGAAAUCCCCAGCGCUAAUACCGCUGGGGGAUGACAGUACCUGAAGAAUAAGCACCGGCUAACUACGUGCCAGCAGCCGCGGUAACAC
rnacentral:rRNA from 1 species